rnacentral:rRNA from 1 species
CAAUAGCGUAUAUUAAAGUUGUUGCAGUUAAAAAGCUCGUAGUUGGACCUUGGACCUGGACAGGCGGUCCGCCUCACGGCGUGUACUGUCUUGCUGGGUCUUUCCUCUUGGUGAUCUGUUGUUUCGGCAGCAGGGAACCAGGACUUUUACUUUGAAAAAAUUAGAGUGUUCAAAGCAGGCUCGACGCCGGAAUAUAUUAGCAUGGAAUAAUAAAAUAGGACGUGCGGUUCUAUUUUGUUGGUUUUUGGAAUCGCCGUAAUGAUUAAUAGGGACAGUCGGGGGCAUUAGUACUCACAUGCUAGAGGUGAAAUUCUUGGAUUCUGUGAAGACUAACUUCUGCGAAAGCAUUUGCCAAGGAUGUUUUCAUUAA